rnacentral:rRNA from 1 species
GACGAACGCUGGCGGCGUGCUUAACACAUGCAAGUCGAACGGAAAGGCCCUGCUUUUGUGGGGUGCUCGAGUGGCGAACGGGUGAGUAACACGUGAGUAACCUGCCCUUGACUUUGGGAUAACUUCAGGAAACUGGGGCUAAUACCGGAUAGGAGCUCCUGCUGCAUGGUGGGGGUUUGAAAGUUUCGGCGGUUGGGGAUGGAAUCGCGGCUUAUCAGCUUGUUGGUGGGGUAGUGGCUUACCAAGGCUUUGACGGGUAGCCGGCCUGAGAGGGUGACCGGCCACAUUGGGACUGAGAUACGGCCCAGACUCCUACGGGAGGCAGCAGUGGGGAAUAUUGCACAAUGGGCGGAAGCCUGAUGCAGCAACGCCGCGUGCGGGAUGACGGCCUUCGGGUUGUAAACCGCUUUCGCCUGUGACGAAGCGUGAGUGACGGUAAUGGGUAAAGAAGCACCGGCUAACUACGUG